rnacentral:rRNA from 1 species
AGGACGAACGCUGGCGGCGUGCUUAACACAUGCAAGUCGAGCGAAGCCCAUCCUUCGGGAUGGUGACUGAGCGGCGAACGGGUGAGUAACACGUGGGCAACCUACCCUCAGCUCUGGGAUAACCCCGGGAAACCGGAGCUAAUACCGGAUAUGACCUCGAGCGGCAUCUCUUGAGGUGGAAAGCUCCGACGGUGAGGGAUGGGCCCGCGGCCUAUCAGCUUGUUGGUGGGGUAAUGGCCUACCAAGGCGACGACGGGUAGCCGGCCUGAGAGGGCGACCGGCCACACUGGGACUGAGACACGGCCCAGACUCCUACGGGAGGCAGCAGUGGGGAAUAUUGCGCAAUGGGCGAAAGCCUGACGCAGCGACGCCGCGUGAGGGAUGAAGGCCUUCGGGUUGUAAACCUCUUUCAGCAGGGACGAAGCGAAAGUGACGGUACCUGCAGAAGAAGCACCGGCUAACUACGCGCCAGCAGCCGC